rnacentral:lncRNA from 1 species
AAAAUAAUCGCAGAAAAAAAUGUUCGUAAUGUUGGAGAAGAAACUGCAGGAACUGGAAUCGGAACUCGACGUCGUGUUCCGCCUCCCACCCGACCAAAUGGCGGCGGAGCACGAUGACGUUAAAGAGCGGUUCAGAUUCCUCGACAAACUCCGGGCGGCGGAGGGCGGCUCCCAGCACCCGCAAAACUCAGACCAACUCCGCGAUAUAGACG